rnacentral:rRNA from 1 species
GACGAACGCUGGCGGCGUGCUUAACACAUGCAAGUCGAACGGAAAGGCCCUGCUUUUGUGGGGUGCUCGAGUGGCGAACGGGUGAGUAACACGUGAGUAACCUGCCCUUGACUUUGGGAUAACUUCAGGAAACUGGGGCUAAUACCGGAUAGGAGCUCCUGCUGCAUGGUGGGGGUUGGAAAGUUUCGGUGGUUGGGGAUGGACUCGCGGCUUAUCAGCUUGUUGGUGGGGUAGUGGCUUACCAAGGCUUUGACGGGUAGCCGGCCUGAGAGGGUGACCGGCCACAUUGGGACUGAGAUACGGCCCAGACUCCUACGGGAGGCAGCAGUGGGGAAUAUUGCACAAUGGGCGGAAGCCUGAUGCAGCAACGCCGCGUGCGGGAUGACGGCCUUCGGGUUGUAAACCGCUUUCGCCUGUGACGAAGCGCGAGUGACGGUAAUGGGUAAAGAAGCACCGGCUAACUACGUG